GAUGAAGAUCGUAGUGAAAUGCGAUAAGUAGUGUGAAUUGCAGAAUUCAGUGAAUCAUCGAAUCUUUGAACGCACAUUGCGCCCCUUGGUAUUCCAUGGGGCAUGCCUGUUCGAGCGUCAUUUGUACCUUCAAGCUCUGCUUGGUGUUGGGUGUUUGUCUCGCCUCUGCGUGUAGACUCGCCUCAAAACAAUUGGCAGCCGGCGUAUUGAUUUCGGAGCGCAGUACAUCUCGCGCUUUGCACUCAUAACGACGACGUCCAAAAGUACAUUUUUACACUCUUGACCUCGGAUCAGGUAGGGAUACCCGCUGAACUUAAGCAUAUCAAUAAGCGGAGGA
rnacentral:misc_RNA from 1 species